CAGCAGCAAUCUGUGGGAGGGUCUGGAUUCUCUGUAAACUCUCAGCUUAUAUUUAUUCACAAGCUCUGUUUAUAGCUUCUUUUACUGUCAUCUAGAAAACCUCUAGCCCAGAAAAAGAGAAUUGGGAGAGAAGAAGAGAAUUCCCUUAAAAAACAGCAACAUUGUUCUGCCUUGCUGCCAACCUGCUACCAGUGCCAUCCUGGGGUGGAUUCUCUCCUGCAUUUUCUGCUUUUUUUGAGAAAAAGAAUUGGAAGAAAAGAUUUUUUUUUCUGAUUUUUAAAAACUUCUUACUGCUGCUGAGAGAAUAACUGCUGCCUGCUUCUGCAAGCAGCCACACCAGCCGCAGAGCGCUGGCCACCUGUGGCCAGCCAGCAACCAACCCCACCCAAAUUUUCCAAAGUUUUGAGGCUUUUUUGCCCCAUCUGAAGAAGACUGAAGAAGAAAGACUGACCAGACCCACAGAAGCAGACUACACAAGACCCAGCGUUGGAGAAGACCUAGACUGAGAACAGGCACCUGAACAAGAACAAACCCUAUUUAUUGGAGAAUGAACAAUACUGAACUGGGCUGAGAACAGCUUGCACAAACAGGAUUCAACCCGAACUGGCUCCACCUUCCCGGCUGCUCUGUCUCAGUGAUGCUCUCCAAGUUUCCAUCCUAAUGCUCCCUAUAAUGGAACAUCUCUAAAUUAUAA